AAAAAAAAGAAAAAAGAAAAAACUAAGAGAAUCAAAAUUAUCUAAAUUAAAGAACAACUAAUCCCAAGACCAUGUCACUCUUUUCAGAGAGGUGGCAAAUAUCAUUCUUUUGCACCAAAGCAAGUCAGAUCUGUGUAGAAUAAUUGUCAUAUUCAGACAGUAAUGUGAAAUAUCAAAAAAAAAGAUAUGCUCAUAAUUCAGAUACAUUACUUUCAAUAAGUACUGGGAAUUUCAGUUGAUUAAA
rnacentral:misc_RNA from 1 species